GAUGAAGAACGCAGCGAAAUGCGAUAAGUAAUGUGAAUUGCAGAAUUCAGUGAAUCAUCGAAUCUUUGAACGCACAUUGCGCCCCCCGGUAUUCCGGCGGGCAUGCCUGUUCGAGCGUCAUUACAACCCUCAGGCCCCCGGGCCUGGCGUUGGGGAUCGGCGGAGCCCCCCGUGGGCACACGCCGUCCCCCAAAUGCAGUGGCGGUCCCGCCGCAGCUUCCAUCGCGUAGUAGCUAACACCUCGCGACUGGAGAGCGGCGCGGCCACGCCGUAAAACACCCAACUCUUCUGAAGUUGACCUCGAAUCAGGUAGGAAUACCCGCUGAACUUAAGCAUAUCAAUAAGCGGAGGA
rnacentral:misc_RNA from 1 species